UCCAGGAUAGCCUAGUGGACAUGGCACCUGCCCGGUAAGCAGAAGGUUGUGGGUUUCGAUUCCCGCUCCUGGAC
rnacentral:tRNA from 1 species